GACGAACGCUGGCGGCGUGCUUAACACAUGCAAGUCGAACGAAGUGGCGAACGGGUGAGUAACGCGUAAUCAACCUGCCCUUCAGAGGGGGACAACAGUUGGAAACGACUGCUAAUCCCGCAUACUGAAGGAGGGGCUUGCGUCUGAUUAGCUAGUUGGAGGGGUAACGGCCAACCAAGGCGGUGAGCAGUAGCCGGGCUGGGAGGAUGAACGGCCACAUUGGGACUGAGACACGGCCCAGACUCCUACGGGAGGCAGCAGUGGGGAAUCUUCCGCAAUGGACGAAAGUCGGACGGAGCAACGCCGCGUGAGUGAUGACGGCCUUCGGGUUGUAAAGCUCUGUUAAUCGGGACGCGGUACCGGAAGAGAAAGCCACGGCUAACUACGUGCCAGCAGCCGCGGUAAUUC
rnacentral:rRNA from 1 species